AUGUUCUAUUAUGGGCUCGAUUUCCAUGAUCUGGCUCUGGAUUCCAUCCUUCACAUCUCGUCGUUUAUCGUCAUAUGUGAGGCCUUCCUCCGCAUCGCCCCACACUUCGGCUUAUGGCUCAAGACCUUUAAUGUGAAGCCGAAGAUGAUCGAUGGGCGACACGCAGAGUGCGGAGGCGCCAUAAUAAGCAAAGGCGUCGAUGCUCCAUGGCCAAAGGGAUCCUUCCCCGAGAUGUCCAAUUUAUGGCAGCGGGAGUGGUUUUACAUCACGGCUCCCCGAAGUACUAAGUGGGUAGCUGCCCCUGCCUUCCGUUCGGGCCCCCCGCUACAACUGGCGUCAUGGGUCAACAAGGGGCUGGACUAG
rnacentral:rRNA from 1 species